UCUGGUUGAUCCUGCCGGCGAUCACCGCUAUUGGAAUCCGCUUAAGACAUGCGAGUCGAGAGGGUUUAGACCCUCGGCAUACUGCUCAGUAACACACGGAUAAUCUACCCUAAGGUGGGGGAUAACCUCGGGAAACUGAGGAUAAUACCCCAUAGGUCAUGGAUGCUGGAAUGCUUCAUGGCCCAAAGUUCCGGCGCCUUAGGAUGAGUCUGCGGCCUAUCAGGUUGUAGUGGGUGUAACGGACCCACUAGCCGACGACGGGUACGGGCGUUGGGAGACGUCGCCCGGAGUUGGAUUCUGAGACACGAAUCCAGGCCCUACGGGGCGCAGCAGUCGCGAAAACUUGUCAAUGAGGGAAACCUCGAACAGGGGAGUCCAAGUGCAUGCGUUUUACGUAUGCUUUUCGGCUGCCUAAAAAGCAGUCGGAAUAAGGGCUGGGUAAGACAGGUGCCAGCCGCCGCGGUAAUACCUGCAGCCCAAGUGGUGACCGAUAUUAUUGAGCCUAAAGCGUCCGUAGCCGGUUUGGUAAAUCCUCGGGUAAAUCGAGCAGCUUAACUGUUCGAACACCGGGGAGACUGCCAGACUUGGGACCGGGAGAGGCCAGAGGUACUUCAGGGGUAGGGGCUAAAUCCUGUAAUCCUUGAAGGACCACCAGUGGCGAAGGCGUCUGACUAGAACGGAUCAGACGGUAAGGGACGAAACCCUGGGGCGCAAACCGGAUUAGAUACCCGGGUAGUCCAGGGCGUAAACGCUGCAGGCUUGGUGUUGGGGACCCUACGAGGGUGCUCAGUGCCGGAGUGAAGAUGUUAAGCCUGCCGCUUGGGGAGUACGUCCGCAAGGAUGAAACUUAAAGGA
rnacentral:rRNA from 1 species